UCAGCAUAACUGAGUGAAACUGUUCAUACUGUUCAUACAUUGUAUCAAUAAAUCUAUAAAAUACAUAUUGCAAGUCCAAAUAUAUGGCCUGGAGGUCAACGUUGCAAUACCAUUGUAUUAUUGUCGAGAACUUUGAUACUUAAGCUAAAUAAGAAUUGUAUAUUCCCAUAAUUUCAUUAUUGAACGAGGUGAUAUAACCUAAACAAGAUAGGAAUUUGUGGAAUGUGUAUUUCAAACGACAUUGAAGAUGAUAUAUAUAAUUACUUCCGAUUGUAAACCUUUUUUAAUAGGAUUAGCUAUUUUCUGUACCAAGACGUUUAUUGUAAGAAACUUGAAUGUUUAAAAUCCCUUCGAAUCGUCACAUAUAUAAUUGUAAAAAAUAUCUUUAGUUUUCAUGAUAUUGUAGAACAUAUUUGUAAAGCAAAUACUGCAUAAUUCUUAAUACCUUCUUUUAUGCAUGAACUACUUGUGUUUUGUAUUUAUAACGAUGAACUAUAUAUGCUUAAGUUAAAUAAACAUGUUCGUCUGCUCUGUUCUGUUCGGCCAAAACAUCCAAUCAAAGCAAAAUGAAAAAUUAGGUAAAAUACCACUUUUUAAAUUAUAGACAUAUUAAAUCACCAAAUGCAACGCAAUCAUAAAUGUUUGGCUGUAAGGCAUAUUUUUUAUAGUUUGUUUUAUUUUACUUUCAUUUUUUUAAACAGAAUACCAUAGAAAACGUAAACGUUUGUUUAAGUUAACGAUAAAGUCCGCGUAAUAUGUUACUACCCUCGUUUUCCAUUGUUUUGUUUUGUACUAGAUUUUAUCUUUAAAGGAUUUGAACAGAUCAGAAAUAUGUGUGUUUACAUUCUGAAUCUGGCAAAACAUUCCCCCGAUGUAUGUACUGCUGAAAUUGGGAUUGAAUGCGAUAUCUGUUACUUUUACAUUUCGGUUGAAAGAAGAAAGAUUAAGAUUAACACAAUUUAAAAAUUGUCAAUUUCAAUAAAAUGUGACUUAAAAUGCACUGUUUUGCCGAAAAGCGCUUGAGAAAAACAAGAGACAAAGAACCGUGUAUAUUGUUGUUUAAAUAAUUAUUAAAUGACCCGUUAAAGCGCAUUUUUGACUGUCUUAUUAUAAUUUGUGCCAUCGUGUUUGAAAAUUAGUGCAGAUGCAAUUGAACAUGAAGUAAAACAAUCUAAACUAGUGUAUUGUGCCCAGUACUUCUUCCAUUGUAUUAUUGUAAAUUGAUAAUUAUUUUGUCUACAGCCAUUCUGGGCCAGAAUUGUUUACUUACUAACGAAAGUUAACAUAUGGACAACUUAUCAAAGUGUUUUACAAUUGGUUGUUGAAAUUUAAAUAAUUUAGAUAGUGAUUGGUACAAUAAGAUUACAAAACAUAAUUCUCUAUUGUAUGUCUCUUCUUUAAAGGGGCUGUUUCAGGUACGAUAAAAUAGCGAAAAAAAAGAAAAAUGUCGAAAACUAACAUAAACUUGGCAUCAAUGUGUACAAUGCAUUGAAACUUACUAACUGAAGUACCACAUCGUUUACAAUUUAUUUAAGUUUAGCAGUUAUUUCGUAUUUUUCUAUUAAAAAAGAUUACUGGGUAUGUCUACCAGUUAGAAGUCAUUCCUUAUGCGUGAUUGGCUAGUCGGUGUUAUCACGUGAUAUUACCGAGGUCUUACGCAGAUAUUUGGGGAGUUGUUACACAAUUUUAUGCAGAAUCUGAUAUUGAUGGUGGAGGUCGCGAAUGGCGAGGAAAUUAACAAUGAAGAAAUUCAGGCACAGACAAAUAAAAAAAUAGCAAAGAUUACAGAAAAUGUUUAUAAGCAAGCAGUCCAUCUUCAGCGAAAGACAAGAAAACUCUCACACUAUCUCACACAGAGUCCAAACUUAAACGAGAUUUACGUUAGUCUAACGGAAAAUUUUGUGGUUAAAACGUGUGUAAUUGAUAUUCCAAAAGCAGCAUUGAAAUACUACGAUUGUUUCAGAAGUGAUCAUUUAAAAAACAUUCAACAGAAAGGGAACCACUCUCUCCAAGCAAAAAAUGUUAUGGCGUUCAACAGUACCUUUUUUAUUGAUGGUUAUACUAGUUUAAUGGGAUUCACUGGGAGUACUGACAUCUUCAGCCAAAAUGGAUCACCAUUAAGUUAUGACAGCGAUCAAUUUUCAGAACUGAUACAGAAAGACGUUGUCCAGUCUUUAUACAGAACAAUUCAGAGACUGUCUGAACAACACUCUGGUAAAUCCUUUUUAUCGAAUGCAAUUUCGCAUGAGGCGAUUAAAGGAACCGGAAAUCUAACACAUGGAUCAAACAUUACAGUGAUUAAUGGAAUACGGUUUAGUACGAGGGUCACAAUAACUACGGAAUAUUUUCAAAGAGCACUGCGAUACUGUGAGGGAUACGAUUACGUGCUGACCCAUACAAAUAUAUUUCCACACAACAUCAGGAUGUUCCUUCAUCUUCCAGUCCUAAGGGGAUAUACUAUUCACACUAUUGAUUGUAAAGUCGGGCGAAACUUCUUCUGAGCUUAAUAUGAAUAAUUUGUAAACAUAUUAUGACGUGACUGUCAACCCAGUUUGUUAUUUUAUUCGAGCGAUUUUGACUUAUCGAUGGAUAAAGAGACAUGUUUGUAAAUGUUAGAAUCUUGAACGAUAUGUUUUGUAAACCAUUUUAACGAGCAACAUACAGAACAAUAGACACCGUUUAAAACAAAGGGUACUUCGCGUACACAAACACAAUUCUGAUAUUGCUGUAUGAUAUAUUUGAAACUGCAACGUUUACGUAAACAGAUUCAUACGUCAAUGA